AUUGAACGCUGGCGGCAGGCUUAACACAUGCAAGUCGAGCGGGGAUUGGGUGCUUGCACCUAAUCUUAGCGGCGGACGGGUGAGUAAUGCUUAGGAAUCUGCCAUUUAGUGGGGGACAACAUUCCGAAAGGGAUGCUAAUACCGCAUACGCCCUACGGGGGAAAGCAGGGGAUCUUCGGACCUUGCGCUAAAUGAUGAGCCUAAGUCGGAUUAGCUAGUUGGUGGGGUAAAGGCCUACCAAGGCGACGAUCUGUAGCGGGUCUGAGAGGAUGAUCCGCCACACUGGGACUGAGACACGGCCCAGACUCCUACGGGAGGCAGCAGUGGGGAAUAUUGGACAAUGGGCGGAAGCCUGAUCCAGCCAUGCCGCGUGUGUGAAGAAGGCCUUUUGGUUGUAAAGCACUUUAAGCGAGGAGGAGGCUACCUGGAUUAAUACCCUAGGAUAGUGGACGUUACUCGCAGAAUAAGCACCGGCUAACUCUGUGCCAGCAGCCGCGGUAAUACAGAGGGUGCGAGCGUUAAUCGGAUUUACUGGGCGUAAAGCGUGCGUAGGCGGCUGAUUAAGUCGGAUGUGAAAUCCCUGAGCUUAACUUAGGAAUUGCAUUCGAUACUGGUCAGCUAGAGUAUGGGAGAGGAUGGUAGAAUUCCAGGUGUAGCGGUGAAAUGCGUAGAGAUCUGGAGGAAUACCGAUGGCGAAGGCAGCCAUCUGGCCUAAUACUGACGCUGAGGUACGAAAGCAUGGGGAGCAAACAGGAUUAGAUACCCUGGUAGUCCAUGCCGUAAACGAUGUCUACUAGCCGUUGGGGCCUUUGAGGCUUUAGUGGCGCAGCUAACGCGAUAAGUAGACCGCCUGGGGAGUACGGUCGCAAGACUAAAACUCAAAUGAAUUGACGGGGGCCCGCACAAGCGGUGGAGCAUGUGGUUUAAUUCGAUGCAACGCGAAGAACCUUACCUGGCCUUGACAUAGUAGAAACUUUCCAGAGAUGGAUUGGUGC
rnacentral:rRNA from 1 species